CCUACGGGAGGCAGCAGUGGGGAAUAUUGGGCAAUGGGCGCAAGCCUGACCCAGCAACGCCGCGUGAAGGAAGAAGGCUCUCGGGUUGUAAACUUCUUUUUUCAGGGGCGAAGCAAGUGACGGUACCUGCUGAAUAAGCCACGGCUAACUACGUGCCAGCAGUCGCGGUAAUACGUCGGGGGCAAGCGUUAUCCGGAUUUACUGGGUGUACAGGGCGUGUAGGCGGGAGUGCAAGUCAGAUGUGAAAACUAUGGGCUCAACCCAUAGCCUGCAUUUGAAACUGUACUUCUUGAGUGCUGGGGAGGCAAGCGGAAUUCCGUGUGUAGCGGUGAAAUGCGUAGAUAUACGGAGGAACACCAGUGGCGAAGGCGGAUUGCUAGACAGUAACUGACGCUGAGGCUCGAAAGCGUGGGUAUCAAACAGGAUUAGAUACCCCAGUAGUC
rnacentral:rRNA from 1 species